rnacentral:lncRNA from 1 species
GUUCGAUGCUCCUGGUCAUGAGUCGAAGGUGAGUAUAUCGAUGAAGAGGACAACCCUUCGGGGACCUCGAUCGACUAGCUAACGCUCCUUGAUGAGUUGAGUAAAGCUUCGAACGAUGAUGAUGACGAUCAUGCAACAUAGGAAAGAAAAAUAUAGGAAUAUUUUAUUUGGAAAAGCAAGUCCAUUAUGAGGCGACUUCAUCCACACUAAGGCUAUGGCAAGAAAAAGCUACAAGAUUGAAGCUUUGACGACACCCUCGAAG